GCAAGAGAGACUGGGAGCACCAUGUCUGCGGAUUCAAAUCUCUACCCUUUGCCGAGGAGCUGAAGUAAACCAGCACAUGUUUUCACCCACAUCUGCUCCAGCCCUCUUCCUCACUAAAGUCCCAUUUAGUGCUGAUUGUGCUUUGGCUACUUCUCCUCUUGCCAUUUUCCUGAACCCACGAGCCCACAGCAGUCCUGGCACUCCUUGUUCCAGCCGCCCACUGCCGUGGAG
rnacentral:lncRNA from 1 species